rfam:Tatumella morbirosei strain LMG 23360 Contig3, whole genome shotgun sequence.
UCAUCAUCACCAUCACCCUGACUAGUCUUUCAGGCGAUGUGUGCUGGGAGACGAAAAGAUCUUCCAGUGGUUUGAACGCAAUAUUAAACCCCCGGAAGAGAUCUUCCGGGGGUUUUUUUAU